CCUACGGGAGGCAGCAGUGGGGAAUCUUGCGCAAUGGGCGAAAGCCUGACGCAGCAACGCCGCGUGCGGGAAGAAGGCUUUCGGGCUGUAAACCGCUUUCAGCAGGAACGAAAAUGACGGUACCUGCAGAAGAAGGAGCGGCCAACUAUGUGCCAGCAGCCGCGGUGAUACAUAGGCUUCAAGCGUUGUCCGGAUUUAUUGGGCGUAAAGAGUUCGUAGGCGGUCGAGUAAGUCGGGUGUGAAAAUUCUGGGCUCAACCCAGAGACGCCACCCGAUACUGCUUAACUUGAGUUCGAUAGGGGAGUGGGGAAUUCCUAGUGUAGCGGUGAAAUGCGCAGAUAUUAGGAGGAACACCGGUGGCGAAGGCGCCACUCUGGAUCGAUACUGACGCUGAGGAACGAAAGCAUGGGUAGCAAACAGGAUUAGAUACCCUGGUAGUCCAUGCCGUAAACGGUGGGCACUAGGUGUGGGAUUCUAUUAACGAAUUCCGCGCCGUCGCUAAACGCAUUAAGUGCCCCGCCUGGGGGUAGGUACGGUCGCGAGAACGUAAACUACAAGAGUAAGUUAGUACGGCGUUGUAGACGUUGCCGAACGGACGACGACGAGGGGAGGAGG
rnacentral:rRNA from 1 species